rnacentral:rRNA from 1 species
GACGAACGCUGGCGGCGUGCCUAAUACAUGCAAGUAGAACGCACAGAUUAUACCGUAGCUUGCUACACGAUAGACUGUGAGUUGCGAACGACAGAGUAACACCUAGGUAACCUGCCUGGUAGCGGGGGAUAACUAUUGGAAACGAUAGCUAAUACCGCAUAAUAUUGAUUAUUGCAUGAUAAUUAAUUGAAAUGUGCAAUUUCACCACUACCAGAUGGACCUGCGUUGUAUUAGCUAGUAUGUGAGGUAACGGCUCACCUAGGCGAAGAUACAUAGCCGAACUGGGAAGGUGAACGGCCAACCUGGGAAUGGGAAACGGCCCAGACCUCUACGGGAGGGAGCAGUAGGGAAACUUCGGCAAUGGACGAAAGUCUGACCGGGCAACGCCGCGUGAGUGAAGAAGGUUUUCGGAUCGUAAAGCUCUGUUGUAAGAGAAGAACGGGUGUGAGAGUGGAAAGUUCACACUGUGACGGUAUCUUACCAGAAAGAGACGGCUAACUACGUG